rnacentral:rRNA from 2 species
GCUGGCGGCGGCUUAACACAUGCAWGUCGAGCGGSGRGAUGUAGCUUGCUACAUUYCCUAGCGGCGGACGGGUGAGUAAUGCUUAGGAAUCUGCCUAUUAGUGGGGGACAACAUUCCGAAAGGAAUGCUAAUACCGCAUACGCCCUACGGGGGAAAGCAGGGGAUCUUCRGACCUUGCGCUAWUAGAUGAGCCUAAGUCAGAUUAGCUAGUUGGUGGGGUAAAGGCCUACCARGGCGAMSAUCUGUAKCGGGUCUGAGAGGAUGAUCCGCCAYACUGGGACUGAGACACGGCCCAGACUCCUACGGGAGGCAGCAGUGGGGAAUAUUGGACAMUGGGCGAAAGCCUGAUCCAGCCAUGCCGCGUGUGUGAAGAAGGCCUUUUGGUUGUAAAGCACUUUAAGCGAGGAGGAGGCUACUURGAUUAAUACUCUAGGAUAGUGGACGUUACUCGCAGAAYAMGCACCCGGCUAACUCUGUGCCAGCAGCCCGCGGUAAUACAGAGGGGUGCGAGCGUUAAUCGGAUUUUACUGGGGCGUU